UGUGUGUGUGUGUGUGUGUGUGUGUUUUCUUUUUUCCUGUACUUUGACAAUUUAAUAUAUCACAGACACAGUAAAUGAUUUCACUGACGCCUGUGGCAGAUGCUGUGACCCGUUUACACGGCACCUUUAUAAAGGAGGGUCAGCAGUGGUCAGAUUAGUUCAGUGCAUCUGUCAUCAGCUCGUAUAACUGUGGCCAUGGUAACAACAUAGGCGUCAACGUUAACUAAAUCUGGUUUACAUCAUGCUUAUCGACUCAUAAAGCUCACUGAGCAAAUCGCGAUUAUGUAAAACAAUAGCGCGGUUACGUUAAUUUAGGAUGAUCCCCGAUAUCUAAAAAAAAUUAGGUGAAGAAUUAGACUUAUACAAUCGCCUCGUAUGAGGUUUGAAUAAAACAGCAUCGUUAAAAACGGACGAUGGGCUCGAAAUGAGCCGGGAUAACCCCAAAUCACGCACGAAAUGCACAGAGAAGCCAAGAUCGUCGUUCAUUUGCAUGCAUCGAGACGACAGAUGACGGUCUUACCAGGGUCUUCGCCACGUUCCCCCUCUGAGUGAUGUUUUUGCUGUGCUUCUCGUUUGCCAUGCGGAUUCUUUGUUUUGCUACCAUCUUCCGACCCAGCGUCCAGCUGUCACAAACUAGUGGAAUUUAUCUGUGGUUGUCAAGUGAAUGCCUCGGUGCCUCCAGAUGUUUAGUCUGGGCGUCCCGCCGCAGGAAACAAACAAGCCAGAGAGAGAGAGCUGAUACACACUCAACCGGGAAGCAGAGGCCACUUGUCGGCCUGGUGAACCUUCAGGUAUUUCAGGUGCUAUGACUGAAGGGGAUGAACUGAACAAACUUAAGAAAUGAAACAUGCUUUGUUGACCUUAUAUUAAGCUGGAGAUGUUAGUCAAGACCACAUGUAUCUCACCAAAGUGUUUUCAGUUAUGAGUGUUGGGUUGUUGCCAAAAACAUCAGUUAGUGUUUUACUAGCAGACAGACCUUCUGAAGCAUCAAAAUCACAGGUUAUUUUUGGAAGAGGAUACUUAGUAUCUACUUCAUAUUGCACCAUGUACAGAUGUAUAAUUUAGCAGUCAGAUCAAAUGAUAAAAUAUAAAUUAAGUAAAAUGACCUGGAACCACUUCCAGUUCAUUACAAUGGAAAUAGAAGGUGAAACUGAGAGAUACAAUGCAGGAAGGUGAUAGCAACCACUGCGACUCUAACAUUGAAGAAAUGGUCAACUUUGAUCACAUGUGCCUUGAUAACCAAUCACAUUAUAGACAUCACUGAAUUGCUGAACUGAUCAAUCUGAAAUUAAUAUUUAAUGGUAAAAAAAAAUGU
ensembl:lncRNA